CACUCCUACGGGAGGCAGCAGUGGGGAAUUUUGGACAAUGGGCGAAAGCCUGAUCCAGCAAUGCCGCGUGUGUGAAGAAGGCCUUCGGGUUGUAAAGCACUUUUGUCCGGAAAGAAAUCCUUGGCUCUAAUACAGUCGGGGGAUGACGGUACCGGAAGAAUAAGCACCGGCUAACUACGUGCCAGCAGCCGCGGUAAUACGUAGGGUGCGAGCGUUAAUCGGAAUUACUGGGCGUAAAGCGUGCGCAGGCGGUUUGCUAAGACCGAUGUGAAAUCCCCGGGCUCAACCUGGGAACUGCAUUGGUGACUGGCAGGCUAGAGUAUGGCAGAGGGGGGUAGAAUUCCACGUGUAGCAGUGAAAUGCGUAGAGAUGUGGAGGAAUACCGAUGGCGAAGGCAGCCCCCUGGGCCAAUACUGACGCUCAUGCACGAAAGCGUGGGGAGCAAACAGGAUUAGAUACCCCGGUAGUCCC
rnacentral:rRNA from 1 species